CCUACGGGUGACAGCAGUCGAGAAUCAUUCACAAUGGGGGAAACCCUGAUGGUGCGACACCGCGUGGGGGAAUGAAGGUCUUCGGAUUGUAAACCCCUGUCAUGUGGGAGCAAAUUAAAAAGAUAGUACCACAAGAGGAAGAGACGGCUAACUCUGUGCCAGCAGCCGCGGUAAUACAGAGGUCUCAAGCGUUGUUCGGAAUCACUGGGCGUAAGGCGUGCGUAGGCUGUUACGUAAGUCGUGUGUGAAAGGCGCGGGCUCAACCCGCGGACGGCACAUGAUACUGCGAGACUAGAGUAAUGGAGGGGGAACCGGAAUUCUCGGUGUAGCAGUGAAAUGCGUAGAUAUCGAGAGGAACACUCGUGGCGAAGGCGGGUUCCUGGACAUUAACUGACGCUGAGGCACGAAGGCCAGGGGAGCGAAAGGGAUUAGAUACCCCGGUAGUC
rnacentral:rRNA from 1 species